rnacentral:misc_RNA from 1 species
GAAAUGCGAUAAGUAAUGUGAAUUGCAGAAUUCAGUGAAUCAUCGUAUCUUUGAACGCACCUUGCGCUCCUUGGUAUUCCUUGGAGCAUGCCUGUUUGAGUAUCAUGAAAUCUUCAAAGUAAAUCUUUUGUUAACUCAAUUGGUUUCUACUUUGGUAUUGGAGGUCUUUGCAGCUUCACACCUGCUCCUCUUUGUUCAUUAGCUGGAUCUCAGUGUUAUGCUUGGUUCCACUCGGCGUGAUAAGUUAUCUAUCGCUGAGGACACUGUAAAAGGUGGCCAAGGUAAAUGCAGAUGAACCGCUUCUAAUAGUCCAUUGACUUGGACAAUACUUUUAUGAUCUGAUCUCCAAUCAGGUAGGACUACCCGCUGAACUUAAGC